AGGCCAAGGUUUCACCUGGUUGACAGAGGAGGAGGAAGCCGACGAAGACAUGACAGAAAGUCGCGCCAACGAGAGGGGUAAGAGGAUAAAGCCGAAAGCCAAACCGGUGCUCUCGGAAGGAAGUGCCUAGGCCGGUACUUAUAAGAAAAAGAGGCGUGGAAAUUUGGUAGGGAUGUACCCCGUCGGAAAUAGGAAAGGCAAUAAAUAAAGGAGGCAUCGCGAAGGAUGGUCAAAGCAGUUA
rnacentral:lncRNA from 1 species